CAGGAGGAGUGGCAGAGGAAGAGGAAGAAGGGAGCCCGAUGUGAGGCUUGAUCCCAGGACCCAGAGAUCAUGACCUGAGCUGAGGACAGACACCUAACCAACUGAGCCACCAGGCGCCCCUAUACUCAUACUUUCUGUGAUUAUUUGAUGAUCUGUUUUCACACUAGACUAUACAGUCCAUGAGGGCAGAGAUCAUGACUAAACGUUUGUUCACAAUUUAAUCCUAGAAUUUCAUGUAAUGCCUGGCACCUAGUACCUAUUCUCUGAAAGAAGAAAUAUGUUUCAGCAGUCUGGCCACGAUGGUUCUGUAUCAGAUGCCAUAUAUCAUCUUAGACUCAUCCAAGGAAGCUUCCAUAAAGAACACGAGCCUCACAUAUAGUCUUUCUGAGUUCUCUGGAUUAUAUCAUUGAUGUGGAAGCAUUUCCGUAGUUAUUGGUUUCCUUUCUUUGGGGAGUAGAGAUGGUGUUGAUCUGGCUUGAUAAAUUUUCCACAGCCAUUAAGUGUUAGAGUGUUUGGAAGCUAUCUAUUUUUUCUGUAGAGAAAGGCUGUUUGCAAACCAAGGUUAAGCAGCUCAUUGACGACGUCUUGUCCCCUACCUCCAUGCAAACUUCUAUGACGCUUCAUACAGAUCCAUAACUUCAAUUCGCUAAGAUACUUGGCGAGCGUUCUGUCUCACCAUCUUCCGCAAGGGCGGUGUGACUCACUCCAGCAAGCCGGAGCAAGGCCAAAGUCAGGAUGGAGCCAACAGCUGCUGGAUGCUUCUACUGAGGACACUGGCAAGACUGGCAGGUGGACAGGGCUUCAGUCUCCACAUGCUUGUUUUGUCCCAACAAUAGCUCAGUUAGAUCAGAGAUGUGGAUCAUUUCUGUAAUUUUCCUUCAUCAAUCAUACCUGUAACAGUUGGAGCUUGGAUGCUCCAUGAAAAGCAAUGGAGUAAUACUCGUUUGAAGAAUCGUGCAAAGAUUAAGGUUAUAUAGGGUUAAACGAAAAGGCAUCUCAAGCCCCUUCCUUUCUUCCUUUUUAAUUUCUCCUUCCCUCCCUCCAUUCCUCCCUCCUUCCUCCCUUUCCUCCCUUUCCUCCCUUUCCUCCCCUCCCUUCCUUCCUUCUGGUUCAGGGAGGUGAUAGAUAGCGAAAAGAGCUUGGAGUUUAGAGGCAGGCGGGUAUUACUCAGCAUCUCGACUUUACCAUUCUCUGUCAAGUCACUUUAACCUCUCUGAGGCUCUGUUCCCUCACAAGUUAUUACUUACAUCAUGGGCUUGUAGUGAGGCUUAAGUUACAUGAUAACAUCAGCUACUAUUUAUUAAACACCAAAUAUGUGCAUUAUCCAAUUUAAUCUUCACAAUAACGUUGCAAGCAAAAUGUCUGGUACGUGGCGGGGGAUUUAUAAAUAAUGACACGAUGGAAGCAUUCGGUGCUCCCCAUAACACAUUUUUGGAGUAAAUGCUCACUUAUUUAAUUCUCAGGGGCCAUUAUUCAUGUCAUUAUCCCCCACAGUCCCUGCUACCAAAGCGAAACUAGUUAUUCAUUCAUUCAAAACAUGUUUUUUGAGUAUCUUCUAUGGUUGGAGGGGAAAUGGGGAGCAAAGAACAAGACAGUUCUUAGCAUCAAAGGGAUUAUAAUUAGCGGAGGUUACCGAUAAGUAAACAGACAAUUAUAACCAAGCGGGAUGAACCCACUCACAAAGGGGAAUACAGAGUGGAUGUUUUUAAGAGGGACCCCUGAAUUCCAAUUUAGGGGUUCAGAAAGGGUUCCUUGGAGGAAAUCACAUCUGUGCUGAGACUGGAGGGAUAAAUAAGAUGUGGAUUCGAGCUUAGAGUAUAUGUAAAGGCAUUAAGAGGAGCAGAACUCUGACGCAUUCUGGAAACAGAGCAGUUAGUUCUGGAAUGUGAAGGGAUCAUCUUGAGAGGAGGCUGGGGUGAGCAGGGCUGUUAGUCAUGGAAGGGCUCAGUGCCCAACCCGCGGAGACUGUCUGAUCUCUCCGGGCGUCUCUCAGCUGUUACUGGGUUCUUGUUCGCCUCCUCCUCAGCUUGGCUUUGGAACCAGCGCCUGCUGUAAGGCUCACUCCUGGGACUCCCGAUCUGAUGGGCAUGUGCCUAUGUUGCUAAACCCUCACGCUUGCAUAAUCUUUGAAGCUGAGUUCUUGGUCCUGAGAAAGAAAGGCUUAUCUGACUAGUACCAAGGCAGGACAUUCUUGGCCAGUUGGCUAUGCCUAAACAGCACCCCUACCCUCAUCUGAGGGCUACCGGGCUAUGGGGCAAGGAGGCUCUUACCAAGGGUCUCUUCUGGCCAGCAUUUUGUAGUCCGGGGCCCGUUUAGCAGGCUCGGGAAUCUGAGGCCAGGCUGACAGAGAGUCAGCUCUCUUGCCACUGGGCCUCUCUGAAUCCAAAUGCCUUCUGGAAAACCUGAGCAGGCCAGACUCUACGACAUGAUAACCUAAUUACCAUUUCACUUUUCCUGGGAACUGAGAGAUAAAUGAUAUUCAGAUCAAUAAGCUAGGUGGACAACUGAUUCAUUUAUUGACUCACAGAUUGUUUAUCUCUGAGUUGGGGCUGUAGAAUGUACCAUCCCGGGAGCUAGGCCCGCCAGAGGGCUGAGAGAAGUCUGAGGCGUGCUCAGGGCACACAGAUAGGAAAGCAGACAGCCAGUUCUCAAUCUUUGCCUCUCCUUUGUCGGACCGGUCAGAUGUUACUUAACUCUGGGUAAAACGACCAUAUACUUCAUUGUCCAAUCCUGGACGCUUUGAAAGUGAAAGAGGCUGCUUGUAACUACCGUCCAGGGACAGCAGGCAUAAACUGGGAUGUUCCAGGCAGAGCCAGACGUAGGAUUGCCCUAACCACGAGCUCUCUCUGUUCAUCUGACAACUGCUUGCUUGUCUCAGGGCUUUGGUAGGGAACCUGGGGCCAGGUCGUUUCUGGGUCUUGCUUUGGCAUUACUUUUCAUGUUCCCAAAAGCAAUUUUUGAAACACUUCCCACUUUAUGAAAUCCUCAUGUUUCUGAGAGGUCAUUUUAGCCAUUUUAAUACAAGACAGUUGAUUUCUAUUCAAAGCAAAGAAAUGGGGUGGUAAAAAGUAGAAAACCGAAGAGAAGAUAAUCCUGAAGGGAAGAACUGCAGCUGUAUCUUCUGCUUUUUUAUAAUCCUUUAUUCAUUAGAAUGUGGAGGUGGAGACAUCAUUUUCUUUAACGUGGCGGCCCCUAAGUUUGUGUGUCCUACCAGACUAGAUGGGUAGGGGUGGUUAUUUGAGUUAUUGUUGUUUGUCCAGGGAAGUGACGAGGAAGAAAAUAUCUCACACACAGCUAACAGACGAGAGACUCAAGAGGCACCUCCUUGAUUUAUGAACUGUUUUCUUAUAAACAUGUUUCUUGGCAAAAUCGUAAGGAACAUGUCAGUGUGCUGUGAAGCCGACAGCACCUCGACAGCAGUCAUUUUCUCCACCUCAAGUUAAGCAGGUUGUGGGAGAAUUCGGUGACCAAGAGUUAUUUUCAUUUUUAAUUUCUUCCUCCACUAUAAUGAAUGAUACUGAAAGCUACGAUUUUUGGCUCUUUCUCCUGAAGCAGAAGUUCUUGACCCGGCGAGAUUUUGCCUCUCAGGGAUAUGUGGCAACGUUUGGACAUAUUUUUGCUGGUCCCACCUGGGGGUGGGGCGCUGCUGGCAUCUCAUGGUCAGCAGCGGGGAUGCUGUUAAACGUCCUACAAAACACGGGACAGUCUCCCUCCCCAAACAAAUCAAUGACCGGCCUCCAAAUAUCAAUAGUGUCAAAGACGAGGACCUGCUCUGCAGCACCCUAAUCAGCCAUUCCUUUCUUCAUUCCACAGUUAUUUAUUGAGCACCUACUGUGUGCCAGUCGCUGCACUGCUGAGGAUGUGAUACCGAACAAAGUAGGAAAAAUCCCUACUCUUGUCUAGUUUGCGUUUUCAUAGGAGAAAUAGAUCAUAAAUGGCAGACACAGAAAGUUACAAAUAUGAAGUAGAAAAAUAAAGCUGGGAAGAGGAUAAGCAAUGUCAGUAGAGAGCAGUGAGAUGGAACCCUUGCCUUGCUCAUGGAGGUGGGUAUACUUGUCAUCAUUAUAGAUGGGGAAACUGAGUCUAGAGAGGAGAAGUAUUGUUCAGGAGGGCACUGCUCCUAAGAGAUAGAGCUGGGAUUGGACAUUGGAUAUGUCUGGUGCUUAAGGAGAAAUUUCCACUUGUGCUGUGCUAUCUAUUAUUACCAGAAACUAGGGUUGUCCUUACUGCAUUUUGAUGGAAUUCCUCUUUCUCUAACUUGCUGAUAACCACCUCCUGUCUGGCCCAAACCAUUCACUGUUAGCAUCUGUAUUUCUGUUAGUUAGAACAUUCCCUGAUUACAUCCUUUGCCCAGACUCGUUAUCUUCAUUACUUAGACACUUUCAAAGCAAGCUGUCCACUGUUUAAGAAAUAAAGUGAAAAAAGUCCCUUCCUUUAUUCUGCAUGCCACUGUACCAUAGCCUCUCCCUCUCCUUUCAUAGCCGAACUUCUUAAAAAGGUGCUUCAUUCAUGCUGCCUCUCUCUAUGUUCCCCCAGCUUGCUUGUAAUAGGGCCUCUGUACUCUCACUCCACACAAACUGGUUUUCAACGUCCACUAAAGACUCCAUAAUCUCCAUUUUUAUAAAGUUUUUCUCUUUGCCCUUUCUUACCUGACUUCCCCCCAACAUUUAGUGCCCUUCCUUUUCCUGUCUGCCAUACUUCUCUUGACUUCCGUCUCUUAGAUUCCCUUUUUGCUCUUUGACUGUUCCUUCUAAGUAGCCUUCAUGGGUUUCUCUUCUCUUCAUGCCUUUAUAUACUGGUAUCCUUCAGGAUCUUGUCCUCAGUUUUAUUUUCCUUUUAACCACAGCUUCUAUGGCUUUGUUGCGUAGACUAACCCCCAAGGUAUAUAACACACUCUGCAAUAUGCUGAGAUGUGAAUGUGAUUGAAAUGCGGUGAGAGUGUGAUACGCAAGAGUGUGGGCCAUCUCCCGUCAGUGAUCCUGGCCAGCCACCCAGAAUCCACAUUGCUGCACUCAGCUGAAUGAGUUUUACAAUAUGGACUCCCCUCCCCCCAACCUCUUGAUGACUAUAUCAAUGACUUAUUGGUCUCCAUCCUUUACUCUCACCGUGUUCAUCUUCCCAAGGCAAACCUGAUCAGGAUCGUGUAUCAGUCCAUUUGGGCUACAAUAACUGGCUGGCUUAUAAACAACAGAACUUUACUUCCCCCAGUCCUGCAGGCUGGGAAGUUCAAGAUCAAGGCACUAAAAUGAUUGGUGAGGUCCUCUUCCUGGUUCAUAGAUGUCUGGUUGUAUUCUUGUGCGUCCGCACAUGGUGGAAGAGGUGAGGGAGCUCUCUGGGGCACUAAGGACCUAAUCACCUCCUCAAUUGCCCACCUCCAGAUACCAUCAUAAUGGAGAUUAAGUUCCAACAUAUGAAUCUGGAGACAGAAACAUCCAGUCUGCAGCACCUCUUCAUCUUUACAACAUAAUUCAUCUCCAGGCAUGGUUUUGAGAUGCUACACAGCUAUCUCAUUUGCCUGGAGUGCCCUCCCUCCCCACUCUGACUUCACAGUGCUGACCUUGGGACGUCCUACUCGUUCUGCAAGUCUCACUUUAAGUACCGCUUCCUAGCUUUCUGGGCAGGGUACUGUCUUAUAUACGCCCCAACUCCCUCCACUUCCAAUUAGAUUGUGUAUUCCUUUAGGGUCAGGAGAAGAAGACUCAACAGCAAAGUUCUUGUCCUCAAGCAUGCUGUUCUACUUAUUAUCUAUUGGUAUCUCAUUGUAAAGUUUCCCUACUCUCUCCAUUACAAAUUAUUGAAUUCCUGUCGCUAAUUUGCUGUGUGAUCCUGUGUAUUUCACUUAACUCCUCUGAGCUGUCAUUUUAUCAACUUAAGUUCUGUCAAAAAAUGUUCCUAUUAUAACUCAAAGAAAUGUAUCAAAUUCUCUGAGCUCUCCAGGGGAAAAGAUGUCAUAAACCAAGAUGAAAUAAAUUGUCAUUCAUUAAAAUAAUAUUCUUGUUAUCAAACAUUGUAUUCAAACCUCAACAAGGUGAAACUGGUUCCAAAGGAAAAUAACCCCUCCUUAUGUAUCUUUAAAGCUUGACAUCACUUAUAAUAUGACAAAGUUUAAUCAUGUAAUUUUUUUUCUUAUGCACAACAUCAUUUCCCCCCCCAUUUCUCCUUGCAUUUUUUGGAAAAAUUUAAGAUUCAUCCUUGCUAUUUUACAGAGUUCUCCCUCCUUCCCAAUGAAAGGAAAGUUUCAUAUCAGAGCACAAUCGUAAGUCCUUGAUCAUGAUCCAAACUUUUCUCAUGCCAUCAACUGCACUUACUGUCCCAACCUGUGGAGAAGUGAAGCAUUGAAGGAGGGAUUAGAGGAAAAGAGAUGUAGAUAUGAAUACCAGCAGAUGAUGUAAUGCAUCACACAGAUUUUGAAGUCCUCCAGAUUUAAUGCUUUCACUUGCUAUGCAAAUUUGGAAAAGAAAGAAAGAAAAGAAGAACAAUUUUCGAAUCACUCCUCCAACCACGGAAAUGAUUUUAAUUACCAAUUCAUCUGUUGGCAGACUCUUCUGGCAAAUGUACCUGCAACUUGGAAAGAUAACAAAUGAACUGAUUCCUUACUCCAGAGUUGACACUGAUAGUGCUUGCUGAAUUUGCUCUCAGAAAAGAAUCCUGGGCAACAAUACAUCUGGCACUCUGCUCGAGGAAUUUGUCAUGUCGUUGACAUGUUCAGCCUCCAUUGUCCACACCACCCCGACAGCAGGUCCUUUAUAUUUCAAAGAAAUUGCAGUCUGAAUUAAUAUAAUUAGAAUGUAACUGCUAUUCACUGCACAAACUCCUCAUUUCCAGGAGUACAGAUCUGAUAGCGUGUCUGUGCGCAAAAUCUUCCCAAUGAUGGCUGGAGGGGAGCGAGCUGAUAAUACAAUGACAAAAUAGACACCAUUUCAUCAGCCUUUGAAAACACCAAGUAUGGAAAUAUAGGAGGAGAAGAAAACUGUCCUAUCUUUGGCCUGUCUAAAUAGAAAUAUCCUUCAAGUUUACCAGCCUGUACAGAUUAUCGCAAAAUAUGUAAGACAGAGUGUCUGAAGUAAUAGAAAACAUGAAAUAGGAAAGAUUGUGUGUCUUUCGAAAGACAGCUAUAUGAAGUAGAGUGGAUAAUUCAUGGACAGACUUGCAGAAUGAAAAGGUGGUUGGAUGACUUCAUUUAUUCUUUACUGUUUCACCGUAAAGAGUCGGUGUCACUAACCAAGCAAUUAUCACCAAAUAACUUGAGUGCUAGAUUCUUGAAUUUCAUUGUUUGUUAUUGUUAUGUUACUACAAACACUUGAUAAUUCAUAUCGUGGAAGCCUACAUCAGCAUCUUUUUUUUUUUUGAAUUAAGAUUGAUUUAUAUUCUUUCAAAUAUGUUGGCAUUCUUACCCUGAAGGACUCAUUUUAGGGGAAUAAUGACCUGACAUAUCCACGUGUAGGCUGGUGCUCAUGGUCUCUCCUCUGAAGAAUAUAAAGUGUAUCCUUGUGCAUAUUUCUGUUCCUCCAAAAGGUAUACGUUGAACCCCUAACCCCCAAUGUUAUGGUAUUCGAAGGCAGAGCCUUUGGGAGGUGAUUAGUUUAGAGGAGAUCAUGAGGUUGAGGUCUCAUGAUGGGAUUAGUGUCCGCAGAAGAAGGAGAUGUACAGAGCAUACUCUAUCUUUCUCUCCUCCCUGUAAGGACAGAGCAAGAAGGCUGCCAUCUGCAAGCCAGGAAGAGAGCUCUUACCAAGAACUGAAUGAAUCAGCUCCUUGCUCUUGGGCUUCCCAGCCUCUAGAACCGGGACCAAUAAAUUACUGUUGACUAAGCUCCCCCAGCUGUGGUAUUUUGUUAUGGCAGACUGAGCUGACUCACAGCACCUAGGAGCCCGUUGGGUUAAUGAGCACUGAGGAGGGAUAAUGUUUCCCAUUUUCUUGCUUUUCUUAGAAGCACACAUUGGUCUUCACCUGAACUUCUGUGUCAGAAAUUGCAAUAAUAGAAAUAUGGAGAAUGGAUAAUACAGUAUAAAAAUAGGGCCAAGGUGUGUGAACGACAGAUUUCCAGAGACUACUGCUACUAGCAUUAGACAAGCCUGGGAAAGACUCCUGGAGGAUGAAGGACCACAAGGAGUGAUCAGCUGUCCCAGCUGAGGCCAAUCUGGACCAGUCUACAGAAGCCCUCACACAGAUAUGUGUGAAAGCCCGAUCAAGAGUAACAGAGUUGCUUACCCAGUCCAUUGCUGACCACAGAUGCAUGAGUGAGUUCAGCUGAAACCAGAAGAACUGCCAGUUUAUGCCCCGUUUAUGCCCAUCCAUAAACUUCUGAGCAAUAAUAAAUGCUUAUUAA